rnacentral:rRNA from 1 species
UACGUAGGGGGCUAGCGUUGUCCGGAAUCAUUGGGCGUAAAGAGCGUGUAGGCGGUCCGGUAAGUCCGCUGUGAAAGUCGGGGGCUCAACCCUCGAAUGCCGGUGGAUACUGUCGGGCUAGAGUGCGGAAGAGGCGAGUGGAAUUCCUGGUGUAGCGGUGGAAUGCGCAGAUAUCAGGAGGAACACCAACGGCGAAGGCAGCUCGCUGGGACGGUACUGACGCUGAGGCGCGAAAGCGUGGGGAGCGAACAGG